GUACUACUCCCUCCGUUCGGAAUUACUUGUCGCGAAAAUGGAUGUAUCUAGAUGUAUUUUAGUUCUAGAUACAUCCAUUUCCGAGACAAGUAAUUCCGAACGGAGGGAGUAUAUA
rnacentral:pre_miRNA from 1 species